ACACACACACACACUAGACCAGGGGUUCUCUACACACACACACACACACUAGACCAGGGGUUCUCUACACACACACACACUAGACCAGGGGUUCUCUACACACACACACACUAGACCAGGGGUUCUCUACACACACACACACUAGACCAGGGGUUCUCUACACACACACACACUAGACCAGGGGUUCUCUACACACACACACACUAGACCAGGGGUUCUCUACACACACACACACACUAGACCAGGGGUUCUCUACACACACACACUAGACCAGGGGUUCUCUACACACACACACUAGA